rnacentral:rRNA from 1 species
CCUACGGGAGGCAGCAGUGGGGAAUAUUGGGCAAUGGACGCAAGUCUGACCCAGCAACGUCGCGUGAAGGAAGAAGGCUUUCGGGUUGUAAACUUCUUUUAAGGGGGAAGAGCAGAAGACGGUACCCCUUGAAUAAGCUACGGCUAACUACGUGCCAGCAGCCGCGGUAAUACGUAGGUGGCAAGCGUUGUCCGGAUUUACUGGGUGUAACGGGCGUGCAGCCGGGAAGACAAGUCAGAUGUGAAAGCCCGCGGCUCAACCGCAGAACUGCAUUUGAAACUGUUUGUCUUGAGUAUCGGUGAGGUAAUUGGAAGUCCUAGUGUAGCGGUGAAAUGCGUAGAUAUUACGAAGAACACCAGUGGCGAAGGCAGAUUACUAAACGACAACUGACGGUGAGGCGCGAAAGCGUGGGGAGCAAACAGGAUUAGAUACCCUUGUAGUC